AUGACUCUUCAGCUACUGCGUUCAUCCCUUUCUCGGAAAACGAAGUUCAGAAACUUACCCCUCGGAGUAGUUCCAGUAACUCUUCCACAGUGUCGGUGUCUUAAGAAAACCAGAGGUGUCUUCAAGAUACAAGUUGAGAUUGGCUUUCAAAGAAGCAUGGCAUUAAAGUCCAUUAUAAAGGCAAGGAUGGAAGAAAGGGUGCAAGGCGGACAUGGAGAUGGAUCCGAAUGGCAUGGCAUGACGAUUGGUUAG